AUUGAACGCUGGCGGCAUGCUUUACACAUGCAAGUCGAACGGUAACAGGUUAAGCUGACGAGUGGCGAACGGGUGAGUAAUGCAUCGGAACGUGCCCGAUCGUGGGGGAUAACGCAGCGAAAGCUGCGCUAAUACCGCAUACGAUCUGAGGAUGAAAGCGGGGGACCGUAAGGCCUCGCGCGAUCGGAGCGGCCGAUGUCAGAUUAGGUAGUUGGUGGGGUAAAGGCCCACCAAGCCGACGAUCUGUAGCUGGUCUGAGAGGACGACCAGCCACACUGGGACUGAGACACGGCCCAGACUCCUACGGGAGGCAGCAGUGGGGAAUUUUGGACAAUGGGCGAAAGCCUGAUCCAGCAAUGCCGCGUGCAGGAAGAAGGCCUUCGGGUUGUAAACUGCUUUUGUACGGAGCGAAAAGGUCCUUUCUAAUACAAGGGGCUCAUGACGGUACCGUAAGGAUAAGCACCGGCUAACUACGUGCCAGCCGCCGCCGCAGUAA
rnacentral:rRNA from 1 species